rnacentral:rRNA from 1 species
GCUCAAGACGAACGCUGGCGGCGCGCCUAACACAUGCAAGUCGAACGGAGCUUAGAGAGCUUGCUUUUUAAGCUUAGUGGCGAACGGGUGAGUAACGCGUGAGUAACCUGCCCUAGAGUGGGGGACAACAGUUGGAAACGACUGCUAAUACCGCAUAAGCCCACGGUACCGCAUGGUACUGAGGGAAAAGGAUUUAUUCGCUUUAGGAUGGACUCGCGUCCAAUUAGCUAGUUGGUGAGGUAACGGCCCACCAAGGCGACGAUUGGUAGCCGGACUGAGAGGUUGAACGGCCAUAUUGGGACUGAGACACGGCCCAGACUCCUACGGGAGGCAGCAGUGGGGGAUAUUGCACAAUGGGGGAAACCCUGAUGCAGCGACGCCGCGUGGAGGAAGAAGGUUUUCGGAUUGUAAACUCCUGUCGUUAGGGACGAUAAUGACGGUACCUAACAAGAAAGCACCGGCUAACUACGUGCCAGCAGCCGCGGUAAAACGUAGGGUGCAAGCGUUGUCCGGAAUUACUGGGUGUAAAGGGAGCGCAGGCGGGAAGACAAGUUGGAAGUGAAAACCAUGGGCUCAACCCAUGAAUUGCUUUCAAAACUGUUUUUCUUGAGUAGUGCAGAGGUAGAUGGAAUUCCCGGUGUAGCGGUGGAAUGCGUAGAUAUCGGGAGGAACACCAGUGGCGAAGGCGGUCUACUGGGCACCAACUGACGCUGAGGCUCGAAAGCAUGGGUAGCAAACAGGAUUAGAUACCCUGGUAGUCCAUGCCGUAA